rnacentral:rRNA from 1 species
UACGGAGGAUGCGAGCGUUAUCCGGAUUUAUUGGGUUUAAAGGGUGCGUAGGCGGGCUGUUAAGUCAGCGGUAAAAGCCCGGGGCUCAACCCCGGCGAGCCGUUGAAACUGGCUGCCUUGAGAUGUCGAGAGGUAUGCGGAAUGCGCAGUGUAGCGGUGAAAUGCUUAGAUAUUGCGCAGAACUCCGAUUGCGAAGGCAGCAUACCGGCGGCGAUCUGACGCUGAGGCACGAAAGCGUGGGUAUCGAACAGG